rfam:Picea glauca, whole genome shotgun sequence.
ACAUGCUUACAACAUAGCGUUAAUGCACAUGAUCUAAUUAGAACUCCGUAGUUAAGUGCGCUCAGGCUAGAGUAGUAUUGGGAUGGGUGAUUACCCGAGAAGUCCUAGUGUUUGACAUGCC